rnacentral:rRNA from 1 species
GACGAACGCUGGCGGCGUGCUUAACACAUGCAAGUCGAACGGAAAGGCCCUGCUUUUGUGGGGUGUUCGAGUGGCGAACGGGUGAGUAACACGUGAGUAACCUGCUCUUGACUUUGGGAUAACUUCAGGAAAAAGGGGCUAAUACCGGCUAGGAGCUCCUGCUGCAUGGUGGGGGUUGGAAAGUUUCGGCGGUUGGGGAUGGACUCGCGGCUUAUCAGCUUGAUGGUGGGGUAGUGGCUUACCAAGGCUUGGACGGGUAGCCGGCCUGAGAGGGUGACCGGCCACAUUGGGACUGAGAUACGGCCCAGACUCCUACGGGAGGCAGCAGUGGGGAAUAUUGCACAAUGGGCGGAAGCCUGAUGCAGCAACGCCGCGUGCGGGAUGACGGCCUUCGGGUUGUAAACCGCUUUCGCCUGUGACGAAGCGUGAGUGACGGUAAUGGGUAAAGAAGCACCGGCUAACUACGUG